AUUGAACGCUGGCGGCAUGCCUUACACAUGCAAGUCGAACGGUAACGCGGGGGCAACCCUGGCGACGAGUGGCGAACGGGUGAGUAAUACAUCGGAACAUAUCCAGUAGCGGGGGAUAACCUAUCGAAAGAUUGGCUAAUACCGCAUACGAUCUACGGAUGAAAGCGGGGGACCGUAAGGCCUCGCACUAUUGGAGUGGCCGAUGUCAGAUUAGCUAGUUGGUGGGGUAAAAGCCUACCAAGGCGACGAUCUGUAGCUGGUCUGAGAGGACGAUCGGCCACACUGGAACUGAGACACGGUCCAGACUCCUACGGGAGGCAGCAGUGGGGAAUUUUGGACAAUGGGCGCAAGCCUGAUCCAGCCAUGCCGCGUGAGUGAAGAAGGCCUUCGGGUUGUAAAGCUCUUUCGGUGAAGACGAAACGGUUAGCGUUAAUAACGCUGACUAAUGACGGUACUCACAGAAGAAGCACCGGCUAACUACGUGCCAGCAGCCGCGGUAAUACGUAGGGUGCGAGCGUUAAUCGGAAUUACUGGGCGUAAAGCGUGCGCAGGCGGUUUUGUAAGUCGGAUGUGAAAUCCCCGGGCUCAACCUGGGAACUGCGUUCGAAACUGCAAGGCUAGAGUGUGUCAGAGGGGGGUAGAAUUCCACGUGUAGCAGUGAAAUGCGUAGAGAUGUGGAGGAAUACCAAUGGCGAAGGCAGCCCCCUGGGAUAACACUGACGCUCAUGCACGAAAGCGUGGGGAGCAAACAGGAUUAGAUACCCUGGUAGUCCACGCCCUAAACGAUGUCAACUAGUUGUUGGUAGAGUAAAAUCUAUGAGUAACGUAGCUAACGCGUGAAGUUGACCGCCUGGGGAGUACGGUCG
rnacentral:rRNA from 1 species